ACUCCAAUAUAAUCACAUGAACCCUUUAAAAGCAAAUUUUUUUUUUCUGGCUGCUAUUAGAAGGAGAAGUUAGAAGAUUAGAAAAGUAUGAGAAAGAUUCGAUGCAUUGUUACCAGCUUAAAGCUAGAGGGGGCCGCGUGGCAAAGAAUGAAUUAGAACCAUAGACGUCUUUGGAAGGGGAGCAGGAUGGAGCUCAGGAGAGAAGCAUCUGGGUACAAGUUAAGGAAGUACACCAUGCCUCUGAUGGUUUGGAACCAGAAUAGAUCCCAAGAGGUCCAGGAUCACUGCAUGUGUCAGAAAAGCAGGCCGGUAGAUCAAACGCCCAGGUCGAAUGCUUUGAAGUUAAUGUCAUAAUAGAUGUUAUAGCACAAAGAUCCAACACCUUCUUCCAAGAAGCUUGAACAGGAGCAGGCAAGAAUAUUAACCAUUUAGAGACUGGACAGCAAUGUCUCAUUGAUUCACAUGUUCUAGAGCACCAGCUCCACCUGUUUAUGCACCAGAACGGGGAUGGGAAGAAACACAGCCUUUGGAUGUUUGCAAAUCCCGGUUUGUCCACUCUUCUAAUCGUUGGACAAUGAGCAAAAAACUACAUUUCACUGAACUACAAUUUUCUGAUCGUGAAUAUGGGGAGGGUUAUUAAAAGAAGUAAAAAGUGUAUAUAAAACUCAACUAGCAUAGCAUAAUAGCUCAAUGAAAUAAUAAGCAUGAUAGCACAAAAAAGUUCAAGAAAAGAAAAUUAAUAUAAGCCACAACAAUAAUCAGAAACUGCUCUUCAGAAAAGAAGGUGAAGCAGACGGCUGAAGUGGUGAUUCAGCAAUGUAGAUCAGGCAAGGGAUAGUGCUGGCCAAACACUUUAGAGGCUGCAUCUUCCUUCUGUUGGCCACGAGGCUUGUUGCCAAAGUACUUAGAGAAAGUGGCCUCCAAGUCAGGCUCCUUCUGGACUUAUUUUCUGGUAAAGUUCUAGCUUUGGGAUUUCAUGUCACCUUUCUGCUAGCUGCCAAUGGACUUCUCAGACUCAAGUAGGUGAACUCCCAAGGGCAGAAAAUAUUACGGACACACACUGGUUGCUUACUAGUAUCGUAGAAUUUUUAAAUCUGGGAAAUAUUAUGCAAUCUUUUUGUUCAAUUCUCUGAUUUAUAGUUUAGAGUGGAAAGAACUCCUU